AUUGAACGCUGGCGGCAUGCCUUACACAUGCAAGUCGAACGGCAGCACGGGAGCAAUCCUGGUGGCGAGUGGCGCACGGGUGAGUAAUAUAUCGGAACGUGCCCAGUCGUGGGGGAUAACGUAGCGAAAGCUACGCUAAUACCGCAUACGAUCUACGGAUGAAAGCGGGGGAUCGCAAGACCUCGCGCGAUUGGAGCGGCCGAUAUCAGCUUAGCUAGUUGGUGGGGUAAAGGCCCACCAAGGCGACGAUCUGUAGCUGGUCUGAGAGGGCGCCGAGCCACAAUGGAACUGCGACACGGUCCAGACUCCUACGGGAGGCAGCAGUGUGGAAUUUUGGACAAUGGGCGCAAGCCUGAUCCAGCAAUGCCGCGGGCAGGAUGAAGGCCUUCGGGUUGUAAACUGCUUUUGUACGGAAUGAAACGGCGAGCUCUAAUAAAGUUUGCUAAUGACGGUACCGUAAGAAUAAGCACCGGCUAACUACGUGCCAGCAGCCGCCGGAAUAC
rnacentral:rRNA from 1 species